ACCACAUCCUCACACGGCGGCUCUGCUACACCACACCACCACCGUGGCUCUGUUACGACACAACAACGCCGCAACUCUCCUACGUCGCACCACCGCCUCGCCGUGCUCUUCUGCUUCUUUGCUCGCCGCUGCUUUCUUGUGCUCUGCGUCUCCUUUGUUCCUCGUGCCGCCUCUGCUCCAUCCAUUCAUGCUCGAUUCACUUUCCCUCAUCACAAUAGGUAGGCUUUUAGUUUUUUUUUUUUUUGUCUGAUUUAGGCAAUUAGGGUUCCUAAUCCCCAUUGUCAA